rnacentral:rRNA from 1 species
CGUGUAGGCGGUGUGGUAAGUCGGAUGUGAAAUCUCUAGGCUCAACCUGGAAACUGCAUUCGAAACUGCCAUGCUUGAGUACCGGAGAGGGAAACGGAAUUCCUGGUGUAGGGGUGAAACCUGUAGAUAUCAGGAAGAACACCGGUGGCGAAGGCGGUUUCCUGGCCGGAUACUGACGCUGAGGCGCGAAAGCUAGGGGAGCAAACA